rnacentral:rRNA from 1 species
CCUACGGGAGGCAGCAGUAGGGAAUAUUGCUCAAUGGGGGAAACCCUGAAGCAGCAACGCCGCGUGGAGGAUGAAGGUUUUCGGAUUGUAAACUCCUUUUGUUAGAGAAGAUAAUGACGGUAUCUAACGAAUAAGCACCGGCUAACUCCGUGCCAGCAGCCGCGGUAAUACGGGGGGUGCAAGCGUUACUCGGAAUCACUGGGCGUAAAGAGCGCGUAGGCGGGAUAGCAAGUCAGAUGUGAAAUCCUAUGGCUUAACCAUAGAACUGCAUUUGAAACUGUUAUUCUAGAGUAUGGGAGAGGUAGGUGGAAUUCUUGGUGUAGGGGUAAAAUCCGUAGAUAUCAAGAGGAAUACUCAUUGCGAAGGCGACCUACUAGAACAUAACUGACGCUGAUGCGCGAAAGCGUGGGGAGCAAACAGGAUUAGAUACCCUAGUAGUC